GACGAACGCUGGCGGCGUGCUUAACACAUGCAAGUCGAACGGAAAGGCCCUGCUUUUGUGGGGUGCUCGAGUGGCGAACGGGUGAGUAACGCGUGAGUAACCUGCCCUUGACUUUGGGAUAACUUCAGGAAACUGGGGCUAAUACCGGAUAGGAGCUCCUGCUGCAUGGUGGGGGUUGGAAAGUUUCGGCGGUUGGGGAUGGACUCGCGGCUUAUCAGCUUGUUGGUGGGGUAGUGGCUUACCAAGGCUUUGACGGGUAGCCGGCCUGAGAGGGUGACCGGCCACAUUGGGACUGAGAUACGGCCCAGACUCCUACGGGAGGCAGCAGUGGGGAAUAUUGCACAAUGGGCGGAAGCCUGAAGCAGCAACGCCGCGUGCGGGAUGACGGCCUUCGGGUUGUAAACCGCUUUCGCCUGUGACGAAGCGUGAGUGACGGUAAUGGGUAAAGAAGCACCGGCUAACUACGUG
rnacentral:rRNA from 1 species